CUCCUACGGGAGGCAGCAGUGGGGAAUCUUGGACAAUGGGGGAAACCCUGAUCCAGCAAUGCCGCGUGUGUGAAGAAGGCCUGCGGGUUGUAAAGCACUUUUAGUAACGAAGAGGACUAUCUUCGGAUAGUCGGACGUUAGUUACAGAAACAGCACCGGCUAACUCUGUGCCAGCAGCCGCGGUAAUACAGAGGGUGCGAGCGUUAAUCGGAAUUACUGGGCGUAAAGAGCGCGUAGGCAGUUUUGUAAGUCAGAUGUGAAAGACCUUGGCUCAACCAGGGAACUGCAUUUGAUACUGCAAGACUAGAGUAUGGUAGAGGAAAGUGGAAUUUCCGGUGUAGCGGUGAAAUGCGUAGAUACCGGAAGGAACACCAGUGGCGAAGGCGACUUUCUGGACCAAUACUGACGCUGAGGCGCGAAAGCGUGGGGAGCAAACAGGAUUAGAUACCCUGGUAGUCCACGCCAUAAACGAUGAAUACUAGCCGCUUGGCGCAUAAAAGUGCUGGGUGGCGUAGCUAACGCGAUAA
rnacentral:rRNA from 1 species